GACGAACGCUGGCGGCGUGCUUAACACAUGCAAGUCGAACGAAGAGCGAUGGAAGCUUGCUUCUAUCAAUCUUAGUGGCGAACGGGUGAGUAACGCGUAAUCAACCUGCCCUUCAGAGGGGGACAACAGUUGGAAACGACUGCUAAUACCGCAUACGAUCUAAUCUCGGCAUCGAGGAUAGAUGAAAGGUGGCCUCUACAUGUAAGCUAUCACUGAAGGAGGGGAUUGCGUCUGAUUAGCUAGUUGGAGGGGUAACGGCCCACCAAGGCGAUGAUCAGUAGCCGGUCUGAGAGGAUGAACGGCCAAAUUGGGAAUGAGACACGGCCCAGACUCCUACGGGAGGCAGCAGUGGGGAAUCUUCCGCAAUGGACGAAAGUCUGACGGAGCAACGCCGCGUGAGUGAUGACGGCCUUCGGGUUGUAAAGCUCUGUUAAUCGGGACGAAAGGCCUUCUUGCGAAUAGUGAGAAGGAUUGACGGUACCGGAAGAGAAAGCCACGGCUAACUACGUG
rnacentral:rRNA from 1 species